rnacentral:lncRNA from 1 species
CAACACAGCACUGGCAAAUCAGGGAGCUGUCAGAAACAGCUGUCCAUUAACGGAGAUUGUGGAAACAACCAGGAGCUGUUUGAAAAUGCUAGGUGGUAGAAUUUAAUUGGAGUAGCAACUGUUCAAAAUUAAGAUUAAAAGGACCAGUCAGUCAAUGUGGAUUUCGUGACACCUUAAAAAUAACGUUUCAGGUUUGAUUAAUGCUGCAUGAAGUUUGCACAUUUCUCUCCUUUGCUGAUAGGGCCUGCGUGCUGAUAGUUGAUUCAGUGAAUAUAUCUAGCAGUGAUAGCUCAUGGGCUCCAAAGGUCAGAUAUCUUAUUCUCUAUGCUGAAACCCUUGUUGCUUUAAGGAAACAGGAUUUUAAUAGGAAUCACAUGCAGAUUGACUACAGGGAGCCGGGACAAAAAUGAAGGUUAUUGAAAAGAAUCAUGCUUGGUGGAAGAAGUAAUUACAUUUUUUUUUCAAAUCUCAGAGGAAUAAUGCUUUUAUAUUUCCUGCGAUGACCCAAUUUGCACUACGAUAUG